rnacentral:lncRNA from 10 species
AUCAAUGUCCUGUCCUCUUUUCUCUGUCAAGUUGUUCCUCCUUCCCGAGCUCUAUUGUGAUUUGGGGCACCUGAGGAAUUAACUAUUUCUCUCGUGUCUUUGCCUAACCACAGGUGAAUGUCUCGACCCGCUUUUAAGCUGGCUCCGCCCUCUGGACGCGUUCUUUUAAAGGUGGGAGCUCCGACGGAGGGCCCUGAUUCCGGCCUCGCUACCAGCUGGGCUGUGUGGGGGAGCGAGGCCUAAUAACCCAGGGGGCGCUGGGCGGGAACGGCGUGGAUCCCUCGGCCUCGCACACCUGGCUCCUAGUCCUCUCGGCCGGGCCGGUGAUCCUCUGGUCGGGGGUGGGGGUGGGGGGGGCUUGCGGCAGCUCACACCUGAGGCCGUUACAAAAGGCCUGCAGCUUAACUCGCUGCAGCUCGGGGGGAUGGAUUGCCUACUAACUGCAGGCGCCGUGGUGCGCCGAGAAAACAGCGAAAACUGGGCCAGCGGAGGCGGGUGGGCCUCCUUGGAGGAGCGCACCUGGGGUGCGGGAGCGCCUCCUGGCAGCCUUGGCCUCGCCUCCCACGCGUGGACGCGCAGGGCCCAGGACACCGCAGCCGCCUACUCCUUUCUGCAGCCCCGGGGUCUGAAGGUAGUUACGAAGGAAAUCUUUUGUAAAAUGUUCCUUUUUCCUCCUCUACAUUUUCUUUCUCUGUCCCUCAGUAAUCCCGGUUCAGGGGUUAGCGUCCCUCACUAAUCCCUGGAUUUAAAAAACAUUCUCCUUUUACACCCAAGCUUCAAUUGGUAGAACAGAGAGACAACUGACGUCGCUUUUGUUUUGCCAGCUUUUGUUUCCGGUGCAUCAGAAACUUUUUGCACCUGAGACAUUAUGAGAUUGUGCCCCAGCCGGUUUCUAAAUUAUUUCUAGGUGAAAAAAUUUUGCAACCUACCUUUGCAGUAAGAAUUCCCCCUACCCCUCCUUUAGAGAAAGUACUUGACAGUGAAUAACAUCCUAUAUUUAUAGACCAAUGAUUGCUACAUUUCAUACCGUGUAGGUUUCCUUCUGAAACCUCAAUCACAUUUGGUUACUGUGGUAGGGGUUUAAAUGUAGCAACUAAUGGGCUGUGGCAGCAGGCAUUUCCCUACCUCUCCUUUUAUUGAACCUUUAAGUGGCAACUGUGCUUCUCUGGGUAAGAGCAAGGCUUUGAGAUUGCGUUCCAUGGGUUAGCUCGGUUCUUUAGCGAAGAUUCAGAGAUCCUGAAUUGCAUCAAGAGAUGCAUUUGUCGGUCUGGGUUUCAGAUAAAAGCAUGAAAUCUCACUGACUUGCUGAACAUUGUGGUUUUGAAUCGGGGCUUUGGAGAUGAAGCUGUGAAACCUCCCAAACCAAAGUUCCUAACAGAAAUCACCAGCUGUGAUUUACAUAUUGGCUUUGCCACAAAGUUUUAGUUCGACUCUGUUUCUGUUGUUAUGGUGUCUUAUGAAUAUUUUCUGAUAUUUAACCCAAAGCCCUCUUGCUGUUUCCAAACUGGUUACCUGAGAUAACUGAGGCACUUGUGCUGCUGUUUGGACGGGAUUACUUCAUGUACUUAAAGGCUGGCCAUACUGCAGACUAAAUACAUCUGGUAUCACCCUCUACUAAGUUUUUAAAAAGUCUUUGCUGAAUGAAAUGCAAAAAGAAAAUGCAAACAAUGCUUGGGCUUUCCUUUUCUUUUCCAGGCUCUCUUUACAACUCUUGCAAAGAUGUCAAGACAUAUUUCAGUAUUCCACCAGCGAGGUUACAGUUUUAUUAGUGAUGGCCUUGGUUCACACCAUAAAUGUGAAUUUACCAUUUUCUGUUGGCUUGACUGACCUGGUCAUGGCCAGACCAAAGGAAGCUGUGUAGAGGAUUCGCUCUGAUGAAACAUUUUUCCCCUCCCUCACAACCCCUUUCUCCUAUAGAAGGCAAAACAUUCUCUUUAACUGAAAAUGGUGGAAAACAUGUUUGUUGUUUUUCCUUUGAAUGAUAAAAGAGAAUUAAGUCAGCUGGCAACAGGUGCAAGUUCCACCCUGUGUGUAUGGAGGAGGCACCAGCUGACAUGGGCGUGGGCAUGUGUAUUUAGGGCAAGCUGAAACUAUAACCACCACCGCCCUCGAGCGAAAACAGUUAGAAUGUUUGCAAAUGUUUGAAUCACCACCCAGAGUUUCACAGGUGACAUCUUUACUCCAGAGACCCUUUUUCUAGUCACACAGGCAAAGAAAAGGAAAGGAAAAGGAAAGGGAGAAUAUAGAACAGAUGCGGUGAUUGCCCAGGGCUGGGCACUUUAAGAACUGGCUAUUUCAGGCCGGGCGCAGUGGCUCCUGCCUGUAAUCCCAGUACUUUUGGAAGCUGAGAGGGGGGUGGAUCACCUGAGGUCAGGAGUUUGAGACCAGCCUGACCAACAUGCAGAAACCUCGUCUCUACUAAAAAUACAAAAUUAGCCAGGCCUGGUGGCGGGUGCCUGUGAUCCCAGCUACUUGGGAGGCUGAGGCAGGAGAAUCUCUUGAACCUGGGAGAUGGAGGUUGUGGUGAGCUGAGAUCGCACCAUUGCACUCCAGCCUGGGGAACAAGAGCGAAACUCUGUCUCAAAAAGAAAACCAAACAAACAAAAAAACUGACUUUUACAGACUUUGUGAAACUUUGUCUUUUCCUCCAUGCUUUAACAGGUAAAAAAAAACUCUCAGGUGAUGGGGAGUCAAAAACGAAGCUGGCAUCUUAGACAUUUUUAAAUAAGGUGUUUUUCUUUUUACACCAACCAUACUACAUGUAGCAGAGGUUGCUUAAGUCUCCUUUAGAAACUUAAAUAUGGCAUAAGAGAGCCUUGUUUUAAUUACUUAUAGUGCAGAAAUCUCUUCAACUGCUAGUUGGAAUCUAUGUAAACAUCAGACAUCCCAUAAGUUUUUGAUCUUGAACACGGCUGUGAUUGAGUAUCCCAAAUAUGGCAUAAGAGAGCCUUAUUUUAAUUACUGAGGUAGAAGCCUUUAUCUACUUAUCAUUAAAGAUGUUAGUCCUAAGGAAAGUUCUUAUCUUGGAGACUUUGAUAGCUGUUACAAAUCUUGCAAAUGCUAUUUUCUUACACUGUUUUUGUCAAAUCAAAUUUCAUUUGGAGUAAUAAUUCUCCAUCCUGGUCUUCUGAUAUCUCAGGGUGCCUCUAAUUCUUUCAUUUGGUACUGAAAACUUCUUAGUUUACAAAACCUUUCACAGAACUUUCUGAUAUAACACAUCAUUUUAAAAAAAUCACAUUACUCUUGGCUCAAAACUUUUGAUGGUUUUCCAUUGAGCUUUGAGUGUUGCAAUGGAAAAGGAUCAUCAAAAUCCAGUCUCCUGCUGGAUAAUAUAGAAAUGAUCUCCCCAACCACCUUAUUCUGUCCCCUUCCCAUCACCUCUAGCCACCAGCACUUCACUACCUCAUGCAGUAAUAUUGGACAGUGAUUGUUAUUGGACAGUUUGAGGUAUUAACAUGCUUAUUUUUGUACUGGGGCAAAGCUUGUACCAAUUGAAUCCAAUUUUGCCCACAGGAACAAACAUCUGUCUUUUAGAUCUGGUGGUUCCUCCUAUGAGAGAGAAGACAUUAGUCUGUCUUCCCUUAUUCUUCUCCAAUUCAGGAUCGGAGCCCUUCACUCCUCCAUGUGGCCUGCCUUGACUCAGUAUUAAUCUCUUGAUACCCUCUAGUUUAUAUCAUUGUUCCUCUCAGGCAUUGAGCCAGAUCAAGCCCAGACUUAUCAUCUGGGCUUUUAAGAGCUACCCUGUGAGCCUGUCUACCACAUCUAUGCACAUUUAUUUCCAGGACUUUUCAAUACAAAUCUCCAGGCUGUCUUUUUUUUUUUUUUUUCCAUUGUUCUCUAAAUACAGCAUAAUUUCCUAUUUGGUCUGUCUGCAAGAUCCAAGAGGAGUACAAGUUAUGAUGAUAUCUUAUGAUAAUGUCAUGAUUUCGGGAACCUACCAUAUGCAUGGUGCUGAUGCUGGGUGAGUGAAUCAUCCCCUCUGCCAUCUUGGAAAUCAUAGUAAGCUUCUUAAUUGGAUGAUAAAACAGUGGACAAAGAAGUGAGUGAUUCCAAUUUCAGUAAGAGCCACGAAGCUAGGAGCCACAGGUUGCUGUGCCACAGAAUCAUGACUGCAUAUAGGUUUGUGUUUGGGAAAUCUGAUUUACAUGGGCUUGUCAGAGAAGGCCUCUCUGGGGAGACAGUGUUGAAGUGAUGACUGAAGGUUGGUAAGAACUAGUUCUUUACAGAGUGAAGGAGGAGGAGGAGGAGGUCAGCAUAUGCAAGGAUCUGAGGCAAGAAAGAGUUUAGUUACUCAAGGAACUUAAGAAAGCUCCAAGGGGCUGGAGUGUGGAGAGGGUGUUAAAGGGAGAGGCCAAAUCACGAAGGGCUUUGCAAGCCACUUAAAGUUUGAGCUUUCCUCUAAAAGCAAAAGGAAAUUUUGAACUAAAGGCAUUUAAGCAGAAAUGCAGAUGUGUGUGUGUGUGUGUGAGAGAGAGAGAGAGAGAGAGAGAGAGAGAGGGAGGGAGGGAGGGAGGGAGAGAAAGGGAGGGAGAGAGAGAGAGUGAGCAUGGAGAGGUUUUAAUCUUAGAGAGGUUGCCCUGGCAGCAGUGUGAAGGGUGGUUUAUGUGACCAGCCCUGUGAAGGCUGCAUGGUGGGAGCCUGCUGCGGAGGAGGUGGUGGUGAGCACAGCUGUCUGGUCAGAACUUUUGUUCUGUUGUAGGUGAAAUGAGAGCCCUGCAUAGAGCUCGUGGUGUGGUGUGCCCACCUGGAGGGUGGGGCUUGUGGGGAAGAAGCUCAAGGCGAGAAUAAAGAACUGUUUCAGGAAGGAGUAAGCACCUCAGAUUCGGAGCCACUGGUCCCCCUCAAUGUCUUGCUGUCUCCUCUGGGGACCUGGAAAGUCACCUGACACUAGAGACACUAGACACCGGGAAGGGGGGAGGGAAGAGAAGCUCUAUUUGGAGGAGGCACCUGAGAAGAUGAUAGCCGCCGUGGACAAUUUUGAGAUGACCCAAGGAGAAGAUGAGAUGGGCGUAUGUUUGCUGCAAGUGGAGUGGAAUACACUUCUGUGAUUUGCAGUCCCUUCCAUGUAUAAUGGAGUAUUGCUGGCUGUGCAAGUGGAGAAACAACUGGGAAUGCCAACUUGAGGAGCGUCUGGUGGACACCAUCUUGAAUCCAGCACUCUCUCCAUCCCCAGCCAGAAGUGUGUGUUGGUGGUGGGGGAGAGACAAGUUAGAAACAAGAAUAAGAUGAACUGUUAAGUUCCAUUGCAUCAGGGAUGUUCAAAGAAAUGGAAACAACUCCAGGCAUUUCAAGAAGGAAGGAAUUUAAUACAGGAGAUGACUUAGCUUUGAGAGAGGCAGCAGGCUGUAAGGUCUCCAGCAGAUGCAGCUGCCUCCAGAACUCUUGCGGCUCACCCAAAAUCGCACAUCUGCCAAAGCCCACAUGUUCCCCUCACUGCCAGAGGAGCACCACUGUGAUGACCGCUUCUCUUCUGCCUUCCAAGUCACAUGUGAGUGCUCCUUCUGAGUAGAAUCUGACCAGGAUCUUGGAAAAUGUACAUUUUGGAUGUCCUGCUCUGCAGCAUAGCUGGGGGAUGAUAGGAGGAGAAAAUGGUGUCCAGGAGUCAACAGCACUGUGACUCAGCUAGGUCUUCCCUUCCUCCCUUCAUCCCAAUUCUAAUUCCUGCAGAGACCCUGGUCCUGUUUUACAAGACUCCUUUUAGCAGAAUUUGGUCAAAGUCAUCAUGGCACUCCUAUAAGCAAUUACAAAGUGAUAUGGUUUGGCUCUGAGUCCCCAUCCAAAUCUCAUCUGGAAUUGUAAUCUCUAUAGUCCCCACAUGUCAAGGGAGGGACCUAGAGGGAGGUGAUUUUAUCAUGGGGUGGUUUCCCCCAUACUGCUCUCAUGAUAAUGAGUGAGUUCUCAUGAGAGCUGAUGGUUUUAUAGGGGGUCCUUCCCACUUUGCUUGCUCUUCUCUCUCCUUUUGAUUUGUGAAAAAGGUGGCUGCUUCCCCUUCUGCCACAAUUGUAAGUUUCCUGAGGCUUCCCCAGCCAUGCUGAACUGUGAGUCAAUUAAACCUCUUUUGUUUAUAAAUUGC